ACGAGCCACAUGCAGGGAAACUUGCACGUGUGGUUCUGGCCAGGGACCCCGGUAUACUGUAC
rnacentral:ncRNA from 1 species